rnacentral:lncRNA from 1 species
GCUUUCUUUCUAAUUCAAAACUCCCAAGGAAGUGAGAGUACAGGAGAGGAAACACUGAUGCCCCACCACCCACCAGGCCAGGACCCAAAUUUUGGAGGCUUCCUCUGCUGCAUGCAUUUCCACUCCUUUGCUGGAGGGAGUAGAGGCUCUCAGGGCAAAGUGCUCUACUGGUUAUAACUGGAUUCACACCCCCCUCCAGCCCCACCCCCAUUCCAAAUCCAGGAGCCAGCCACAUCUCACUUCCCUGCUCUGUUAGAGCUUAGAAUUUAUCUGCCCCCAGGUGCAAAACAAUGUGAGAUACUCUGUGUUUUGAUCUGCUUUGCUUAGUUCUGUUUGUUUUCUCCCACCCAAAGCAGCAGAGACAAACCCACUUUCAUUCUUGUGUAUUUCCCACCUCUAGGUGUGAAGCUGUCAGACCCAACAACUGGCAAAGAAAGCCAUCUCUGCAAGGGCAGCCUCUCUGCAAAGGUGUAACAGGAUGCUUUUGAAGAGGAAAAAAGAAUUCAGAGCCUUAAACCCAGCCUUAAACCCUGGCAGCAGAGACCGGGUGUGUCAGGACCUUCACUUCCACAGUCCUGACACUCAUUGUGGUGAAGAUUGAACCAGCCUCCCUCGCCCCAGGGCUCAGCACUUCCUCUGCUCCCCAGCCUGUUCUGGGAAGGCUCUCCUUUAUCUACCUGGAGAGCUGAGAAAUUGGCUGGCUUGCUUGCUUUCCUGAACAGAGAACUUUAUCAUAAUUACACUGAUGAAGUUGCAAAGAAUUUCUGUUUUUAUCAUGUCACCAAUUUAAAAAGGUCAAUGCAGGAGUUCCCAUUGUGGCUCAGUGGUUAACGAAUCCGACUAGGAGCCAUGAGGUUGCAGGUUCGAUCCCUGGCCUUUCUCAGUGGGUUAAGGAUCUGGUGUUGCUGUGAGCUAUGGUGUAGUUUGCAGAGGCGGCUUGGAUCCUGCGUUGCUGUGGUUCUGGCAUAGGCCGGCGGCUACAGCUCUGGUUCGACCCCUAGCCUGGGAACCUCCAUGCCUCCGCGGGAGCAGCCCUAGAAAUGGCAAAAAGACAAAAACAAAAACAAAAACAAAAGGUCAGUGC